CAGUAGCCGCGGUAAUACGAGGGGUGCAAGCGUUAUUCGGAUUGAUUGGGUGUAAAGGGUGUGCAGACGGCUUAUUAAGUCACUUGUUAAAUUCUUCGGCCUAACUGAAGGUCUGCAAGUGAUACUGAUGAGCUAGAGGGUGGAAGAGAGAAGUGGAAUUCUCGGAGUAGCGGUAAAAUGCGUAGAUCUCGAGAGGAACACCAAUGGCGAAGGCAGCUUCUUGGUCCAUUCCUGACGUUCAUACACGAAAGCGUGGGGAGCAAACAGGAUUAGAGACCCGUGUAGUCCCUGUCUCUUAUAA
rnacentral:rRNA from 1 species